rnacentral:rRNA from 1 species
AGAGUUUGAUUCUGGCUCAGAAUGAACGCUGGCGGCGUGUCUUAAGCAUGCAAGUCGUACGUGAAAACCCGCAAGGGUGAGUAAAGUGGCGGACUGGUGAGUAACGCGUAGGUAAUCUACUUAUCUGACCGGGAUAAUAUCUCGAAAGAGGUACUAAUACCGGAUGUGAACAUGGAACUUCGGUUCCAUGCUUAAAGGUGGCGAAUCAGCAAUGGUGCUACCGCAAAUAAAUGAGCCUGCGUCCUAUUAGCUAGUUGGCGGGGUAAUGGCCCACCAAGCGAUGAUGGGUAGCCGACCUGAGAGGGUGACCGGCCACAUUGGGACUGAGAUACGGCCCAGACUCCUACGGGAGGCAGCAGCUAAGAAUAUUCCACAAUGGACGAAAGUCUGAUGGAGCGACGCCGCGUGGACGAUGAAGGCCUUCGGGUUGUAAAGUCCUUUCGUGCGGGAAGAUCUUUCCGUUGGUGAACAAUCAACGGGAUCGACUGUACCGCAGGAAGAAGCCCCGGCUAAUUACGUGCCAGCAGCCGCGGUAAUACGUAUGGGGCGAGCGUUAUUCGGAUUCAUUGGGCGUAAAGGGUAUGCAGGGGGCUUGUUAAGUCGGAAGUGAAAUUUCCAGGCUCAACCUGGAAAUUGCUCUCGAUACUGGCAGGCUAGAGUUUGGAAGAGGAGAAUGGAAUUCCAGGUGUAGGGGUGAAAUCUGUAGAUAUCUGGAAGAACACCAGUGGUGAAGACGAUUCUCUGGUCCAAAACUGACCCUCAGAUACGAAAGCCAGGGGAGCAAACGGGAUUAGAUACCCCGGUAGUCCUAGCCCUAAACGGUGAUCACUAGAUGCAGGAAGUAUUCAUUCUUUCUGUGUCAAAGCUAACGCAUUAAGUGAUCCGCCUGGGGAGUACGCCGGCAACGGUGAAACUCAAAGAAAUUGACGGGGGCCCGCACAAGCGGUGGAGCAUGUGGCUCAAUUCGAUAUACGCGAGGAACCUUACCAGGGUUUGACACGCAGGUAGUAGAAGCACGAAAGUGUGACGAACGGUAUCCAGUCCGUUGCCUGUACAGGUGCUGCAUGGCUGUCGUCAGCUCGUGUCGUGAGAUGUUGGGUUAAGUCCCGUAACGAGCGCAACCCCUAUCUUCAGUUGCCAUCAAGUCGUAAGAUGUUGGGCACUCUGAAGAGACUGCCGAUGAUAAGUCGGAGGAAGGCGGGGAUGACGUCAAGUCCUCAUGGCCUUUAUAUCCUGGGCUGCACACGUGCUACAAUGGCUGGCACAGAGGGUUGCAAGACCGCGAGGUUGAGCUAAUCCCACAAAUCCAGCCCCAGUUCAGAUUGAAGUCUGCAACUCGACUUCAUGAAG